rnacentral:rRNA from 1 species
UGUGCAAGAGGAAAGGUUAGCAGAACACUCUGGAAAGUGUAGCCAUAGAGGGUGAUAGUCCCGUAUGCAAAAACCUAACCUUAGCUAGCAGUAUCCUGAGUAGGGCGGGACACGAGAAAUCCUGUCUGAAGCUGGGUAGACCACUAUCCAACCCUAAAUACUCCUACCAGAUCGAUAGCGAACAAGUACCGUGAGGGAAAGGUGAAAAGAACGGCGGUGAGCCGAGUGAAAUAGAACCUGAAACCAUUUGCUUACAAUCAUUCAGAGCACUAUGUAGCAAUACAGUGUGAUGGACUGCCUUUUGCAUAAUGAGCCUGCGAGUUGUGGUGUCUGGCAAGGUUAAGCUAACGCGAAGCCGUAGCGAAAGCGAGUCUGAAUAGGGCGCUAAGUCAGAUGCUGCAGACCCGAAACGAAGUGAUCUAUCCAUGAGCAGGUUGAAGCUAGUGUAAGAACUAGUGGAGGACCGAACCCGCUAGCGUUGAAAAGCUAUGGGAUGACUUGUGGAUAGGGGUGAAAGGCCAAUCAAACUUCGUGAUAGCUGGUUCUCUCCGAAAUAUAUUUAGGUAUAGCGUUGUGUCGUAAUAUAAGGGGGUAGAGCACUGAAUGGGCUAGGGCAUACACCAAUGUACCAAACCCUAUCAAACUCCGAAUACCUUAUAUGUAAUCACAGCAGUCAGGCGGCGAGUGAUAAAAUCCGUCGUCAAGAGGGAAACAACCCAGACUAACAGCUAAGGUCCCCAAAUCUUACUUAAGUGGAAAACGAUGUGAAGUUACUUAAACAACCAGGAGGUUGGCUUAGAAGCAGCCAUCCUUUAAAGAAAGCGUAAUAGCUCACUGGUCUAGUGAUUUUGCGCGGAAAAUAUAACGGGGCUAAAGUAAGUACCGAAGCUUUAGACUUGCACACAACUUAGAUGAUUUAAAUUUAAAAUAUGAGAAACUAAAUUUAUUUUUAUUUAUUUUUGUUAUCUUUAUUCAUUUUUAUAGAGUAAAGAUAAAAACAAAAGCUUCGUAAAAAUAAUAAAAUAUAGUAAAAAACAAUAAAAAUAUUCUUAGAUUAAAAGAGUUAAGUCGUUUAAGUUGUGUGCAAGUGGUAGGAGAGCGUUCUAUUUGCGUCGAAGGUAUACCGACAAGGAGUGCUGGAGCGAAUAGAAGUGAGCAUGCAGGCAUGAGUAGCGAUAAUUAAUGUGAGAAUCAUUAACGCCGUAAACCCAAGGUUUCCUACGCGAUGCUCGUCAUCGUAGGGUUAGUCGGGUCCUAAGCUGAGUCCGAAAGGGGUAAGCGAUGGCAAAUAGGUUAAUAUUCCUAUACCAACAUUAGUGUGCGAUGGAAGGACGCUUAGGGCUAAGGGGGCUAGCGGAUGGAAGUGCUAGUCUAAGGUCAUAGGAGCUUAUACAGGCAAAUCCGUAUAAGAAUACUCCGAGAACUGAAAGGCUUUUUGAAGUCUUCGGAUGGA